AUACGUAGGUGGCAAGCGUUGUCCGGAUUUAUUGGAUUUAAAGGGUGCGUAGGCGGUUCUUUAAGUCAGUGGUGAAAUACAGCCGCUUAACGGUUGAGGUGCCAUUGAUACUGAAGAACUUGAGUACAGACGAGGUAGGCGGAAUUGACGGUGUAGCGGUGAAAUGCUUAGAUAUCGUCAAGAACACCGAUAGCGAAGGCAGCUUACUAGACUGUAACUGACGCUGAGGCACGAAAGUGUGGGGAUCAAACAGGAUUAGAUACCCUGGUAGUCCACACUGUAAACGAUGAUUACUCGAUGUUGGCGAUACACAGCCAGCGUCUUAGCAAAAGCGAUAAGUAAUCCACCUGGGGAGUACGCUGGCAACAGUGAA
rnacentral:rRNA from 1 species